GAAAUUGUAGCAGAGUGGUAGAGAGCAGGGCUCGUAACCGAAAGGUUCCUGGAUCAAUUCCCUGCUGGUUCA